UUACUGGGAGAAAUUAUAUGUAAUGGCAUUUUCCAUCUUUCUAAGUAAACAAAAAUGCCAGGUCAUUGAAAAUGCUAAACACCAUCAUUUGGUAUCAUGAAUCAGAAAGGCCCGAACUACAUAUGAGUACUUGCAAAUAUUUCUAGGACCAUACUUAUAAUGCCACAGUUGCUAUAUAAUUAUGUUAGUAGCUGGAUCAAAGUUUUCUACUGGAGAGGAAUAAAUAUUUCAUCGGAAAAUCUGUGCCAAUUAUUUAAUGGCACAUUGAACUUCACAGUUAAAAUAAAUACUUGAGGCUGUGAGAUGUAAGUCCUUCUUUUCAAGUUUUUAAAAGAGAAUAUUCUUGUACAAUGAAUCCCAUGCUUUGACUUAAUAUAGCUGGGGUUUUAUAAUGGCAAUACAGUAUUCUUGAAAAUUUCACAUUGAAUUAAUGUUUCCAUUAUACACUCUGCAUGUGAUUAUAGCCAUAAGCAGUGAGAAUCAGGAAUAAGCGUAGAGGUCCACAAAAAAGUAGGUAUAAACAAUGUACUUUACUAAUAAUGUUUUUAUGAAUUAGAACUUUAAGCUGUCAUUAUGGGACUUACCGUAUUCAUAGAGAAUUUUACUUAAAACAUCAGCCUUUAAAGAUUUUGUGUUUUUCCAGCAAUGUUCUCUGUGUUCUGUAGGUGAUCAGUACCAACGAAAUUAAAUUUCUCAUUUAUAAAUGACAUAGGAAUUUAAUUAUGCAUUACUCAGGCAUAUAAAUAACCUAUGUUUCUUUUAUGAAAACUCUCCUUAUUUGGAAACUUUCUCCCUUAAUGUUCAACAAUUCUCUUCUCAAGUGACUGUGCAUUCACUUAGACAUUUCAGCAGCCUUGUCUGCUAAUGUGCUUGCUGUUUUGUUUGCAACACUUGGAGAAGGGUUAUAGCCUUUAAUGAUAUUGGAUUCAGUCAGUUAGCAAUUAAACACGUGUGAAGCAGCUGGACUUAUCAGCACAUUGUCCUUCUCUGACAAAAUUGUACAAAGCCCAAAAAUGAUGGCUUUUUCAUGAAGGAAUCUUGGCUAAAACCUAAAGCUCUGACCCAAGAAAAAUGUUAUUAGCUUCUGCAUAAAAUAAUAUCAAUGAAAGAAAAAUGAGAAGUCUUAAUUUUUACUUCCUAAGUCCUUACUCUGUGCUUUUCUCUUCCCUUUAAAUGUUUAUAUGACUUCUCAAAACCAGAAAGCACACAACAGUUAAUUAUAGUUGUAAGGCUUUCUAAAACUCUGUUUCCAACAAAACUAAGAAACAAAUGCAAGUAGGUCUAAUUGGGCCUUUUGUUUUGUUGUCUCCAAGUCUUCGUACUAUGGAGCUUAUCCUAACUCUACAUAGCAGAGGAAUACUUUUCAUUUCUAUGGGGCCAGUGUUGGUGUAUUUUUGUUGCCAGUUAAAUCAGGUCCCAGUUGUUCCAUGACACCACAUUCCAGCAUUCCACUUCACUGACACAUUGUUUCUUUGGGGUGGUAGAAAUUGGCCUGCAACCCAUCACAUUUCAUGACUUUGGAAAAUAGAGUAAAAAUGAGAUGAGGCCAAUUAUAUGAUCAUUAUUAAACCUUCCCAUUGUUAUCUAUAGAGUGUAGGAUAAGAAACAAUGCAUGUGCAUCCUUAGUAUAAAUUUUGUUCCUGAUCUUUUCUAUGUGGGCAAUGUUAAACAUCUGCUUUGACAUACUAAAUUAGGCAGCUAACAAGCUGUACCAAUUUAAUUUUUACUUAUUUUUUUCUGUGAGGUAUAGAGAUAAUUAGACUAAAGUGUCUGGAACAAAGUAGUUAUUAAAAGUACAAUAAAAUAGUAACCAGCAUUUACUACAUUUGGCAAAUAAUAAAAAUGUGAGUACAUAUUAUCUUUAGUAUUUUUUUAGGUGUGAGUUCUACUGAUUUCCAUAAGUGCAAAUUAUUUAUCUCUUUGCAUCCAAGGAACAUGUGUCUAGAAUAAGUUUUCUUGCAAAACUUCAAGAAAAAGUGUGUACAUGUAGAGGCAGAUCUGCUUACAACACAGCUGUGUUACAAUGAAGAAAAAAUUUCUGGAUGUUGCUUGCCAUUUAUAUAGAGAGGAACUGAAAUUUAAAGUGUCAAAACAGAUGUCCAACAUCACAAACCAGAUAAGGUCAAGAACAGAAUUCAGUCCAAGGACUCUGAUAAUUUCUUACCCCAUACUGUGUAGAUAACAAAAAAAGGAAAUGUCAAUAAUUGCUCAUUCUCUGAUGCAACUGUUGAGGAAUGGUAGCCCUUCCAUCUUCAACCAUAAGUUUUAGGGAGAUGGCUGGAAUGUAUUUAAAUGUACCACUAUUUCAUUCCUUAAUCUAAACGGAAUUCAUAUGAUCUUUCACUUAGUAACCACUUUUAUUGGGAAUAGAUUAUUUCAAAAAUCUUUAGAGUUGUAAAUAGCCAUAAUAUAGUGUCUAUACUUCACAAAGUUUUAAAAUAAGAGAAAGAUCCAUUUUAUGUGCUUAAGAUGUACAUGUAUAAAAUGUUAGACAGUGAAGUUGAUUAGAAAUAAUUGAAAAAAAAACCAUAGUAUCCUAGUUUGUGUUAAUAUUACUGUGAUAAAACCACAUGUAAAUACAACUUGGGAGAGGGAAGUGUUUAUUUAUCUUACAAGUUAUAAUCCAGCAUUGAGAAAAUACACGGUAGGAACUUAAGUAUGGACUACUGGGAAACUGCUUCUUAAUUUGCUUCCAAGUUCAUGUUCAUCUGUUUUAGUUUUACAAAACCCAGGCCCACCUGCCUAGAGAUUGUACCACUCACACUGUGUUGGGUUCUUUUAUAUCAAUCAGUAACC
rnacentral:lncRNA from 1 species